rnacentral:rRNA from 1 species
CCUACGGGAGGCAGCAGUGAGGAAUAUUGGUCAAUGGACGCAAGUCUGAACCAGCCAUGCCGCGUGCAGGAAGACGGCUCUAUGAGUUGUAAACUGCUUUUGUACGAGGGUAAACGCAGAUACGCGUAUCUGUCUGAAAGUAUCGUACGAAUAAGGAUCGGCUAACUCCGUGCCAGCAGCCGCGGUAAUACGGAGGAUUCAAGCGUUAUCCGGAUUUAUUGGGUUUAAAGGGUGCGUAGGCGGUCGGAUAAGUUAGAGGUGAAAUCCCGAGGCUCAACUUCGGAAUUGCCUCUGAUACUGUUCGGCUAGAGAGUAGUUGCGGUAGGCGGAAUGUAUGGUGUAGCGGUGAAAUGCUUAGAGAUCAUACAGAACACCGAUUGCGAAGGCAGCUUACCAAGCUACUUCUGACGUUGAGGCACGAAAGCGUGGGUAGCAAACAGGAUUAGAUACCCGGGUAGUC